rnacentral:rRNA from 1 species
GACGAACGCUGGCGGCGUGCUUAACACAUGCAAGUCGAACGGAAAGGCCCUGCUUUUGUGGGGUGCUCGAGUGGCGAACGGGUGAGUAACACGUGAGUAACCUGCCCUUGACUUUGGGAUAACUUCAGGAAACUGGGGCUAAUACCGGAUAGGAGCUCCUGCUGCAUGGUGUGGGUUGGAAAGUUUCGGCGGUUGGGGAUGGACUCGCGGCUUAUCAGCUUGUUGGUGGGGUAGUGGCUUACCAAGGCUUUGACGGGUAGCCGGCCUGAGAGGGUGACCGGCCACAUUGGGACUGAGAUACAGCCCAGACUCCUACGGGAGGCAGCAGUGGGGAAUAUUGCACAAUGGGCGGAAGCCUGAUGCAGCAACGCCGCGUGCGGGAUGACGGCCUUCGGGUUGUAAACCGCUUUCGCCUGUGACGAAGCGUGAGUGACGGUAAUGGGUAAAGAAGCACCGGCUAACUACGUG